rnacentral:tRNA from 1 species
GCGCGUCGUGGCCGAAGGCCUGGGCCGCGAGCUUGGCCAGGCCGUGGUCGUGGAAAACCGCGGCGGCGGCGGCGGUUCGAUCGGCGCCGACGCCCU